AUGAACGCUGGCGGCGUGCCUAAUACAUGCAAGUCGAGCGAACAGACGAGGAGCUUGCUCCUCUGACGUUAGCGGCGGACGGGUGAGUAACACGUGGAUAACCUACCUAUAAGACUGGGAUAACUUCGGGAAACCGGAGCUAAUACCGGAUAAUAUAUUGAACCGCAUGGUUCAAUAGUGAAAGACGGUUUUGCUGUCACUUAUAGAUGGAUCCGCGCCGCAUUAGCUAGUUGGUAAGGUAACGGCUUACCAAGGCAACGAUGCGUAGCCGACCUGAGAGGGUGAUCGGCCACACUGGAACUGAGACACGGUCCAGACUCCUACGGGAGGCAGCAGUAGGGAAUCUUCCGCAAAGGGCGAAAGCCUGACGGAGCAACGCCGCGUGAGUGAUGAAGGUCUUCGGAUCGUAAAACUCUGUUAUUAGGGAAGAACAAAUGUGUAAGUAACUAUGCACGUCUUGACGGUACCUAAUCAGAAAGCCGCGGCUAACUACGUG
rnacentral:rRNA from 1 species